rnacentral:other from 1 species
CGGCUCCUGCGGUGCGCGCAAGCCGCGUAGUUCCGAUCCAACAGUUUUACAACGGGAGCCCGACUCCGGACGGGGCCAACAGGCCCGGCGAUCUCUGCGGCCACACGGCCGGCAGAGGGGCUCGUUGAAGCCGCCCGGGAGGGCACCCACCUUCAGGGGAAGGGUUCGAGAACUGCGGGCGGCGGCAUCGCGGGAGCCUU